rnacentral:tRNA from 1 species
UGAUGGUGUAACGGUAGCAUGACAGUCUCCAAAACUGUUGGUAUAGGUUCAAAUCCUAUUCG